rnacentral:lncRNA from 1 species
UUUUUAUACUAUAUGAUUACUAUUUAGAUGAUAAAUAAUCAAUCUAGAAAUACAUCCUUUGAUGAUACAAAGACCGAUUGAAUAUGGUAUAAAUUAUGGUCGUUCGACCACUAAAAAAUUUCUCAAACAAGGCGAAGUUCAAUAAUUCUCCAAAGAGAAUUCAAAAAAAAAACUUAGUCACUUCUCAAUUCAAACAAAGAGAAAUUCAACUAAUUCUCUUAAAA